CACGUAGGGCGCAAGCGUUGUCCGGAAUUAUUGGGCGUAAAGAGCUCGUAGGCGGUCUGUUGCGUCCGCUGUGAAAACUCGGGGCUUAACCCCGAGCCUGCAGUGGAUACGGGCAGACUAGAGGUAGGUAGGGGAGAAUGGAAUUCCCGGUGUAGCGGUGAAAUGCGCAGAUAUCGGGAGGAACACCGGUGGCGAAGGCGGUUCUCUGGGCCUUAACUGACGCUGAGGAACGAAAGCGUGGGGAGCGAACAGG
rnacentral:rRNA from 1 species